GAGUAAUCCUCCUUCAUUAUGACCAUUCCAGCAAUUGAGCAUCUUCUCACCCCUCCAUUUUGUGACCACUUUAAGACUACUGGAAAAAGAAAGAGAAAGAAGUCACAGUAGAUUGGAUAUACAACUACUUUUCAUUUUUCUUCUACCAUGUUUUACUUUCUCCCUCAGCCAGUCUUCCUGCCAACAGCCCCGGACACCUCUAAAUCCCUGAGGCUGGAUGAAGAAGCUCCAGAGAAGAAAAUAGCCAGUCAGAAACACAGAAUCUCCUAGUUCCUGACAUGGAUUUACCCAUUAGACUUCACUAAUUCGAGGAUCUCCUUCUAGCCCCAGAACACAGGUACAUUACUAUACUUGAUUCUCUUAUCUAUGGACAAAAUGGCAUGACUUUCAAUCCAUUUGGUAA
rnacentral:lncRNA from 1 species